AUGGACAUCAAGUUUCUUUGGGGUGUGGUCGUUUAUUUCCUGGGAGCAGGUCCCCUGGAUGCCAACGGUGCCGGAAUCACUCAGACUCCAAGAAAUCUAAUCACAGGAAUAGGAAAGAAUGUGACACUGACGUGUGAACAGAAUUUGGGACAUGAAACCAUGUAUUGGUACCGUCAGGACCAGGGCCAGGGGCUUCGACUCAUUUAUUACUCGAUUACAAAAGGUGACCUUCAGAAAGGAGACAUUUCUGAGGGGUACAGUGUCACUCGAGACCAGAAGGAGUCCUUUCAUCUUGUUGUGCAGUCAUCCACAAGCAAACAAGCAUCUUCUUAUCUCUGUGCUAGUAGCAAAGACACA